CCUACGGGUGGCAGCAGUGAGGAAUAUUGGUCAAUGGACGAGAGUCUGAACCAGCCAAGUAGCGUGAAGGAGGACUGCCCUGUGGGUUGUAAACUUCUUUUAUAUGGGAAUAAAACGUUCCACGUGUGGGAUGUUGUAUGUACCAGAUGAAUAAGGAUCGGCUAACUCCGUGCCAGCAGCCGCGGUAAUACGGAGGAUCCGAGCGUUAUCCGGAUUUAUUGGGUUUAAAGGGAGCGUAGGUGGAAUGUUAAGUCAGUGGUGAAAUUUUGCGGCUCAACCGUAGAACUGCAGUUGAAACUGGCAGUCUUGAGUACAGUAGAGGUGGGCGGAAUUCGUGGUGUAGCGGUGAAAUGCUUAGAUAUCACGAAGAACUCCGAUUGCGAAGGCAGUUCACUGGACUGCAACUGACACUGAGGCUCGAAAGUGUGGGUAUCAAACAGGAUUAGAUACCCUUGUAGUC
rnacentral:rRNA from 1 species